rfam:Triticum aestivum genome assembly, contig: Triticum_aestivum_CS42_TGACv1_scaffold_499522_6BL
CCUCUCAGUGAUGUAGAGAUAAUCUCCCACAUCCUCUCUAGCGUUGAUCUCGACUACCAACCACUCAUCUCCGCCCUCGACAUCCACAUCGAGCCUCUCUCCCUUGACCACCUCUAUGCGUUAAUGUCAAACUUUGAUC